rnacentral:rRNA from 1 species
CCUACGGGAGGCUGCCGUGAGGAAUAUUGGUCAAUGGACGAGAGUCUGAACCAGCCAAGUAGCGUGAAGGAUGACUGCCCUAUGGGUUGUAAACUUCUUUUAUAAAGGAAUAAAACGAGGCACGUGUGCCUUUUUGCAUGUACUUUAUGAAUAAGGAUCGGCUAACUCCGUGCCAGCAGCCGCGGUAAUACGGAGGAUACGAGCGUUAUCCGGAUUUAUUGGGUUUAAAGGGAGCGUAGAUGGGUUGUUAAGUCAGUUGUGAAAGUUUGCGGCGCAACCGUAAAAUUGCAAUUGAUACUGGCAGUCGUGAGUACAGUUGAGGUAGGCGGAAUUCGUGGUGUAGCGGUGAAAUGCUUAGAUAUCACGAAGAACCCCGAUUGCGAAGGCAGCUUACUAAACUGUGACUGACAUUGAUGCUCGAAAGUGUGGGUAUCAAACAGGAUUAGAUACCCGGGUAGUC